CUACGGGUCGCAGCAGUGGGGAAUAUUGGACAAUGGGGGAAACCCUGAUCCAGCAAUGCCGCGUGUGUGAAGAAGGCCUGCGGGUUGUAAAGCACUUUCGGUUGGGAGGACUGCUUCUAGCACUAAUAUUGUUGGAAGUUGACGUUACCUUCAGAAGAAGCACCGGCUAGCUCCGUGCGCAGCAGCCGCGGCAAUACGGAGGGUGCAAGCGUUAAUCGGAAUUACUGGGCGUAAAGCGCGCGUAGGCGGCUAGAUCAGUCGGGUGUGAAAGCCCCGGGCUUAACCUGGGAACUGCACCCGAUACUGUCUAGCUUGAGUACAGGAGAGGAGAGUGGAAUUCCACAUGUAGCGGUGAAAUGCGUAGAUAUGUGGAGGAACACCAAUGGCGAAGGCAGCUCUCUGGCCUGAUACUGACGCUGAGGUGCGAAAGCGUGGGGAGCAAACAGGAUUAGAUACCCCGGUAGUC
rnacentral:rRNA from 1 species